rnacentral:tRNA from 1 species
CAGGGUGUAGCUCAGUAGGUAGAGUGCCGGACUUGGAAUCCGGAGGCCGUCGGUUCGAGACCGACCACCCUGA